rnacentral:rRNA from 1 species
UAGGGAAUCUUCCACAAUGGGCGCAAGCCUGAUGGAGCAACGCCGCGUGAGUGAAGAAGGUCUUCGGAUCGUAAAACUCUGUUGUUAGAGAAGAACAUGCAGGAGAGUAACUGUUCUUGUAUUGACGGUAUCUAACCAGAAAGCCACGGCUAACUACGUGCCAGCAGCCGCGGUAAUACGUAGGUGGCAAGCGUUGUCCGGAUUUAUUGGGCGUAAAGGGAACGCAGGCGGUCCUUUAAGUCUGAUGUGAAAGCCUUCGGCUUAACCGAAGAAUUGCAUUGGAAACUGGAGGACUUGAGUGCAGAAGAGGAGAGUGGAACUCCAUGUGUAGCGGUGAAAUGCGUAGAUAUAUGGAAGAACACCAGUGGCGAAAGCGGCUCUCUGGUCUGUAACUGACGCUGAGGUUCGAAAGUGUGG